rnacentral:rRNA from 1 species
AUACGGAGGGUGCAAGCGUUGUUCGGAAUUACUGGGCGUAAAGCGCGCGUAGGCGGUCUGUUAUGUCAGAUGUGAAAGUCCUCGGCUCAACCGGGGAAGUGCAUUUGAAACUGGCAGACUUGAGUACUGGAGGGGGUGGUGGAAUUCCCGGUGUAGAGGUGAAAUUCGUAGAUAUCGGGAGGAAUACCGGUGGCGAAGGCGACCACCUGGCCAGAUACUGACGCUGAGGCGCGAAAGCGUGGGGAGCAAACAGGAUUAGAAACCACAGUAGUCC